AUUGAACGCUGGCGGCAUGCCUUACACAUGCAAGUCGAACGGCAGCACGGGUGCUUGCACCUGGUGGCGAGUGGCGAACGGGUGAGUAAUACAUCGGAACGUACCUUAUCGUGGGGGAUAACGCAGCGAAAGCUGUGCUAAUACCGCAUACGCCCUGAGGGGGAAAGCGGGGGAUCGCAAGACCUCGCGCGAUUAGAGCGGCCGAUGCCUGAUUAGCUUGUUGGCGGGGUAAAAGCCCACCAAGGCGACGAUCAGUAGCUGGUCUGAGAGGACGAUCAGCCACACUGGGACUGAGACACGGCCCAGACUCCUACGGGAGGCAGCAGUGGGGAAUUGUGGACAAUGGGGGCAACCCUGAUCCAGCAAUGCCGCGUGAGUGAAGAAGGCCUUCGGGUUGUAAAGCUCUUUUGUCAGGGAAGAAACACCGGCUCUAACACAGUCCGGGAAUGACGGUACCUGAAGAAUAAGCACCGGCUAACUACGUGCCAGCAGCCGCAGUAA
rnacentral:rRNA from 1 species